GACGAACGCUGGCGGCGUGCUUAAUACAUGCAAGUCGAACGGAAAGGCCCUGCCUUUGUGGGGUGCUCGAGUGCCGAACGGGUGAGUAACACAUGAGUAUCCUGCCCUUGACUUUGUGAUAACUUUAGGAAACUGGGGCUAAUACCGGAUAGGAUCUCCUGCUGCAUGGUGGGGGUAGGAGAGUUUCGGCGGUUGGGGAUGGACUCGCGGCUUAUCCGCUUGUUGGUGGGGUAGUGGCUUACCAAGGCUUUGACGGGUAGCCGGCCUGAGAGGGUGACCGGCCACAUGGGGACUGAGAGACGGCCCAGACUCCUACGGGAGGCAGCAGUGGGGAAUAUUGCACAAUGGGCGGAAGCCUGAUGCAGCAACGCCGCGUGCGGGAUGACGGCCUUCGGGUUGUAAACCGCUUUCGCCUGUGACGAAGCGUGAGUGACGGUAAUGGGUAAAGAAGCACCGGCUAACUACGUG
rnacentral:rRNA from 1 species